UCCUAAAAUCUCCGUGUCGAGCCUUGCCUGUCAUGUCACCGCAACAAUCUGCAAGCUACAUCGUUAAGUGGCCGGUUGAGCUAACUUGCUCAAAUGUGGGACGUUUAUCGAAAACUGCCACCUCAUGUCUGCGGCAAGUUCCAGAUGGUCAACACAAAACCCCCACAGAACACCCACCUACAAUGAAGUCAUAUCCUGCUGAUUAAACCUAAAAUGUGGAGCAUUUGCAACAUAAAUAGAGGGAAAACUGGCAAUACAUGAAAAUCUGAAUGCCGAUAAACAAUCAUACAUACUUUCAUACAACUGCCUUAAAAUAUUGUGACCAGCUAAUAACAAAAAAUCAAAAGGAGAGUACAUACAUACUCUGAAAUUAAAAUAUGUAAUUUGAAAGUCAUCUGCUGUAUGUUCACGUAUAUAUAUAUAUGUCAUUGUGUUGAUUUUGCAUUGAUGAUCAAUGCUGAGUUUUUUUAGUCACACUUAAAAGUGAUGUUGCAGUUGUAUUUGAGCUCCAGUACGAGCUGCCAGGUGUUGAUAGAAUAAACAACUGAGCUCAUGUUGUAGUACUUGUAAACAGUUACUGACAUGUCGAUUGGUAUGUCUAUUGGAUCAGGCGAGUUAACUGUCCUUUGCCCCAGUUCUGUUCAAACAGCAGCAGUUAACACAUAAAGCAGAGGGCAAGGAACAGCUUCAAACAUAUUCAAUGAAAAUUUUAAACUUCUGAAAAAGGUUGUGGGGUAUAGUUUUGUGAAAUCUGUUUUUUUUUUCCCCCUGAGAACCUUGGUUCCGGGAUUUGAUACAUGAGCAUGCAUAAAGGUAUUUUUAUAUAAUGCAUGCAAUGCAAAGAAAUCUGACCUGCUAUACAGCUCAUUUAUGUGGCAGGGAUAGGCUAUGAUACUUAGUAUAAUUAUAAGAAUGAACAAAGGAUACAUAACAUUUGACUUUUUAAAAAUUUAUUUUUCAAAGAAAAAACAAUCACUGUAAAACAGAUUUAUCAAAAAGUAGUUUCUGAACCAAUAAAAUAAUCAAUGACAACUUGCUAGAACAUCUGUACAGUAUAGCCUAUAAAAUGGUGUGCAAUCUACACCACCUACCAAUUUCUAUUAUUAAAUCUUUUACUUUUUGUCAUCUGUGGUCUG